UCACAGUAGCAGAUUUUGUUAGUUGAAAACCUCAUAUCCACUGCCUGUAGAGACAGUGACAGAUUAUCUAUUGUCUCCUCAUUAUUCAUUCUCUCUUUCUUACCAACAGAACCUGAUUUAAAUGGAGGCUGUACUUCUUGGCUGUCUUUGUAUGGGAGAUCAUGUUACACAAGGCUGCCCAAUAGAAUACAAGUAUGAGUUGCUGUUUAGAAAUUAUGGAAAGACUCCUUAAGUAGAGUCAGACUUAACUGGAAUGUGUAUUUGACCCUCCGUCUUCCUUCUUACCUUUUCUGCUUGGAACAUGGCCUCAAUGAUCAGAUAUGGUGACCAUGAGAGUGAAAGCCACACCCUGAGGCUGAAGGUGAAGAAAAUGCAAGGAGACUGGAGUAUUGAAGGCAUUGUGGAGUGGCUGCACUGGUCCUGAGGUGUCAACCUCAAAAUCUUUACUCAGAAGUUCAAUAGGUCCAUGAAGAGAUUACUGAGUCUGCUAGGUCCUGCUGGUGCAUACCUGCUGAGACAGGGUAGAAGGUCACACAGUUAUCCUCACCAUGCUCCAAGGAGGAAGCCUGCUGUGGCUAAAAAUGCUAAAAUAAAGGGGAUAGCAAGAAGAAGUCAUAAAGAGAAUAUGCAUUAAAGGAGGGCAACCACAAAACAAGAUAAGAUAGAGAAAGAGUAACUCUUCUAUGAGCAUUCUCUGCAGUGAAAAAGAUCACUGGAUUGGAAAUGAAGAGCUGAGUUAUCAUAUCAUCUUUACAAUAAAUUGCUUUGUAACAUAAGGGGAGUUCCUUAUUUUGUUUGUAUUUAAAUUUCCUCAGUAAUUAAAGAAGCAAGUUAAUGCAUAU
rnacentral:lncRNA from 10 species